rnacentral:rRNA from 1 species
UACGAAGGGUACAAGCGUUAUUCGGAGUUACUGGGCGUAAAGAGCGUGUAGGUGGUUAGUUAAGUUGGUUGUUAAAUUCCCCGGCCUAACUGGGGAAAUGCGACUGAAACUGGCUGACUAGAGUGCAAGAGAGAGAAGUAGAAUUCCCGGAGUAGCGGUAAAAUGCGUAGAUCUCGGGAGGAAUACCGAUGGCGAAGGCAGCUUCUUGGCUUGUAACUGACACUAAAGCGCGAAAGCGUGGGGAG